rnacentral:rRNA from 1 species
UACGGAGGGUGCGAGCGUUGUCCGGAAUCAUUGGGCGUAAAGGGCGCGUAGGUGGCCCGGUCAGUCCGUGGUGAAAGCGCGGGGCUCAACCCUGCGUCGGCCAUGGACACUGCCGCGGCUGGAGCACUGUAGAGGCAGGCGGAAUUCCGGGUGUAGCGGUGGAAUGCGUAGAGAUCCGGAAGAACACCGGUGGCGAAGGCGGCCUGCUGGGCAGUAGCCGAAAGGCUUUCAAGCUGACACUGAGGCGCGACAGCGUGGGGAGCAAACAGG